ensembl:lincRNA
UAUACAAUGAAGACUCUGGUGGCUCUAGCUCUUUUGCUCUGCUCUGCUCCAUGCUGCCUGCUGUUGUUGCUGAUGUCUCGAAUAUGUGUGUUCUUUAACCUUGGGACCUCACCCUCAAAAAUCUCCCUUGGGCCUCCAGAGUGGGCUGACAACUGGGCAGUUGGUGGGACAUUGAGUAACAGAAGCAUGAAGGUAGGAAGAGAUGACAAUAGGAAGGAAGCAGGAGAGCAAUUGCAGCAUCGAUUUAUGCAUGGAUCUGGAUCUGCAUGGGGCCGGCAGUACCCAGAUGGAAAGGGCGAUGUCCAGCUGUGCGCAUGCUGGGUGCUAUCUAGACAAGGAAUGGCCACUGUGGCUCCAGAGCAGAGCUUCUCACCCUCAGCUCUAGUGACAUUUUGGGAGCCUGUUUUGGGAACUGUCCUGUGCAUGGUAGGAGGUUUAGGCUACAUGCUUGACCUCUAGCCCUAUUGUAGGUAGCCCCCACCUCCAGAGUUGUGACAACCAAAACUGUCUCCAGACAUUACCAAGUGUCUCCUGAGGAGCAAAGUCACCCCUGUGGGCUCUCAAGGAUUCGCCCAGCCUGUGCUCGCAAUUCUGGGUGCAUCGAGGCCGACUGAGCAUGUGCCACAUGGAGCUUCAUGUGGCCCAUCCCAUCCUCAAGCAGCCACUCUGGAUCGUAACCAUCUGACACCUGCAGUUUGCUAGCUUGGUUAUGUGAGAGAUGAAAUGGGGCCAGGCACAGCAGCAGGCUCAGGGCUGCUCCGGGUCAACCUGCACACUCAGGGUCACUGCUGAGGGCGUUCUUUGCCUCCUCUGAGUUAUUAAAGACACUACCUUGCUUUGCAACCACUGAAAGACUCCCCAGAAAAUUAGACUAAAACAAUCUGGUCCAUGUGAAGCUGUUGCAAAAUGGACCAUUUGCUGCCCCUUGGGCUCAGGCUGGCGUUUCUCUUUCAGAUGGACAUCUGAGACCCUGCCUCUGGAAACAGCAAUCACAGAUGCUCUUGGAACAAUUUAGUGGCCAAGUUUUGCCACUGGAUUGAGGCCAAAGUCACAAUGAGACCACGAAAUUCACAUAAGAAUGUAUCUUGAUGGCACCUGCCUAUCAUAUCUCGAACAGGGCUCUCCUUGCUUGUGAUGUGCUGUGAGUCACAGAGCAAGCCCCGUGUGUCCACCUCCCUUCACACAGAGCCGUGGACUCCACCUGGGGACACUGGCCAGGAAGGCCAGUGCGGUUGCUGCAGUGAUAGGAUUUGAGCCUCACAGAGCCAGGGCAGGGCUGGUGAGCGGAAUCAGCAAGUAGGACCCGGGAAGGCCUCCAAGCUCAUCAGCUGGGCCAGAGCACACUGGCCUGAGAACUGUGUCUCAGCUCCUCCACGAGGCCUUUCAUACAUCUCCAGCGCCCUCAGGAGCCACCGACCUGGCUGGAUGCACCCUGGGACCCUUGAUCUAGCUGUGCUCUCUCACAGGUCCUGACUCUUCCUGCAUCUGACACUGGGAGUAAACCCAGCACCCAGAAGGAAUGAGAGAUUAUCUGCGCUGUCACCAUCACCGUUAUUGCCGCUGUGUCUUAGCUCUGCCAUCUUUGGAGAGUCACUUGAUAGCCGUGUUAUAACUCUGAUCACCUCAGUGUGGCAUUCCUGGGGUGUGGCCCAUGGAGGAGGUGAGCAUCUUUUCACCCAUGCUUCUCAUCCAUCUGUGUUCUUCUAAUUAUAU